rnacentral:ncRNA from 1 species
CUAAUAUUGAUGAAUGGGAUAGUAUUCCGUGAAGAUGAUGUUACAGCGAGCCGGGUAGGUGGAAGCCGGUACAGAAAUCAUGGAAGAAUCGCACCCAGGAAAUGAUCUGUUGAACGCGGAACACGUAGGCAGAUCCGGUCAUAGACCGUUACAAAAACGAGGGGUUGGACCGAUACAGGUUCAGCUACUUAGAGUGGUACCACGGGACCUAUUAGGCGCUCGUCUCUUUU